AGACGUAGGGGGCGAGCGUUGCUCGGAAUCACUGGGCUUAAAGGGCGCGUAGGCGGUUAUGCAAGUCCAGGGUAGAAGGCGGAGGCUCAACCUCCGUAAUGCCUUGGAGACUGCAUAACUUGAGUAAGCGAGGGGAGGGCGGAAUUCCCGGUGUAGCUGUGAAAUGCUUAGAUAUCGGGAGGAAGGCCUGUGGCGAAGGCGGCCCUCUGGCGCUUAACUGACGCUGAGGCGCGAAAGCGUGGGGAGCAAACAGGAUUAGAUACCCUAGUAGUCC
rnacentral:rRNA from 1 species